rfam:Triticum aestivum genome assembly, contig: Triticum_aestivum_CS42_TGACv1_scaffold_556087_7AL
UACAUACUCCCUCCGUCCGAAAAUACUUGUCAUCAAAAUGAAUAAAAGGGGAUGUAUCUAGAUGUAUUUUAGUUCUAGGUACAUCCCUUUUUAUCCAUUUUGAUGACAAGUAUUUUCGGACGGAGGGAGUAGUAG